rnacentral:SRP_RNA from 1 species
GCCGAGCUCAGUAGCGAGAGCUUGUAACCCAUGUGGGGGCAUCAGGUGGUGUGGAUGAUCGGUGCUGAAUUUGGGCCUGGGUCCAUGUGUUGUUAACUAUGCUGGCUUGCGUAGUGGGUGGAGGGGCUUCGGCGAAAGCCUUGGUCUCUCCGGCCCUGAAGUUGGCAGACACGGCGUGAGGCUGGCUUCACAGAGCAGCGAUCACUGCCCGCUUCCAACGGUGGAAGGAUAACAGGCCGCUGCACCAUGGGCCCGCUUCUGGCCCCACUAUUACAGACCACCAUCAUU